GGCACGUUGAGGUGGAGCCGGUGGUAAAGUGACGCAAACGGCCUAGUGAACGAUGUCGAGAAAGUAGAGGCAAGCUCCGUGUCAACGCGGUGGAGCAGCGAGGCGCGAGCCCCGCCAGAGAGCCAUUGUGCCUGACACAAAGCAGUCAACAUGGCCCUAGCGUCGGACUUGCUGAAAUAGAUGAGUCGUGACGCACACUUCUGGUGUGCUCUGCGUGCCGCAGCAUCAGCCGCAUCAUGCCCAGAGAGAAAGAGAGAAAAUGGCAACGGGGAACGUUCAUUUUGCGGCCGUAAAAUCAGGCGCAGCUGCCUGUAAUGUUUCCGAAUUGGUCUUCCUUUCAAGCAAGAAGGUCAUUUCGACGGGAAGAAAUUCGAGUAGGGCUGCUGAGAAGGACAUGUAUAUUCCCUAUUUGGCGUCGAUGCUUUAUGAGAACCAUAAGAAAAGGAAGAGGACAUCUGUAGGAGAAGAAGAAAAAAAGAAACGCUGAAUGUAGGUCUUACUUGGAAAGGUCGUAUAUGAGCUAUAUAUAGCUCGAGAGGACUCGUCAUCGGCGCUUUUAAGAUGUGGAAGGCUACGUGUGGGUCC